CGCACACAGGUUUUGAUUAUUGGGCUCUGGUUUCUGAAUUAUGAAAUUUGAAAUAUAAUCAACAACGAUGAAUUACGGAUCUUUAAAUCAAAACCUAACAACUUUAAGUUUGGAUUUAUGAUUCAAAUUUGACCUGAUUAAUACUGAUUGAUAUUCUUAUUUAAUAUUUUUUUCUCUGCAAAUUUGAGAACAAAAUCCACUGAAUUCUAUUCCUCCUAUUAUUCUAAAAUUUUGAUUUGAUUCUCGCCUUGAAUAUGUCGUGUCAGUAAUCGAUACCCUACGGUACACGAACAGAUAAAUAGCAACAAGGAGAGGAUCAUUAGAAAUAAAGGAGAUGAUCAGUUCAGAUCAGACUGUCAAGCGAAUAAGAUCGGUGUUUUAUUAUAAGUGAACUUACAAAGAAAUAUCAGACUAUAAUAGUGGCGACGAGGGCAAGGACACCUCCUAUUUUGUGUGUAACACAAAGCUUGAAUGCGGAUUGUGUGGAUUUAAGUAAAUCAUUGUGGGUUUCUGAUUGUCUAGUGUUGGAAAAUAAAAAAAAACAGUAUUCGCGUCAGUCCAGCUGCACUGCUGCCAGCUGUGAACAUUUUCAAUCCGAGUGAGCUCAGAUGUAAACAAACUGAGCAUAAUUAUGUGAUUUUGAAAAAGUGUUUUUGAAAGGUUUUAAAGGUUUAUUUGGUCCGUUUCUUCGGUAAGGUUGCUGUUUAAUAAUUUUGCGAAUUGCUAUUUAUCCUUUUUUCGUGACCUGAAAUCCCCGUUCAUAUGAGUGCAAUUCCAUGCAAUGUCGAGUGAUCGGAUCCGUCGAUUAUGGACAAUUAUAUAAGAACUGAGGAAAUAAAUCAUCAUGGAAACGGAUCAACGUUUUACCAUUUUUCUCAGCUACGCUUUGGUACAAAUAACUGGCUCAAACUGUGGAGUGUUAACUAACGUGCCCAAUCCUGAUAUUUUUUUUCAUUCACUUAAUUCCUUACCAUAUUGGCUAAGUUAUUCACUUCAAAUUGGGAUAAAAAUUAGGCUAUCGUAAAACUUGAAACCCUGAAAGUUCACUCAAGGACUCGCGGAAAAGCUUAAGCUAAACGAAUUAGAGGUGAAAGCCCCAAAUAAACUUGAAAUCCUGGAAAAGUCUCUGAUUCCAGUAGCUAAACCUGUGGCUAAACGUUACUUCAAAGUUGUAGUUAAGAAAAAGUUCUCAUUUGGAUCAUGAUAAAUAAUUUAAAAAUUAAUAAUUUAAGUCUAAGUGUUUUUUUCCAGAUAUGCCAAAGCAUGAAUGGAAAAUAUUAUUUUUUUAAUUAAAGGUCAUAUUGGAUCUACCGGAAAUUUUACUCCUUUUAUGACGACAUUGUCAUGGUGAUGGUCCAUCAUGAUCAUUCUUGUAUCAUAUCUAAGGUUUCGGAAAUGCGUGAUUUAUAUCAGCGAUUUCAACGAAUAUCGGAAAAUAGAUUUUGUUCGAAACUAUUUAAAAUUUAAAAUAAAUCAUAUGCAAGCGCAUACAAUUUGUUAAACUACGACUAUCAUUUGGGCCUGUCCUUGCGAAAUUUCUUAAAACAUAUGAAGCCAUCAUCAUUCAAAUGAAAUCAUUCUCAUAAAGUUUUCUUUAAGUACUCAUAUUAAAAGUUUUAUUGUUUUUUUAAUUGAAUGCUAACACAACAUCAUUUCCAUAACAAUUUCCUUUGUUUACUUUACCGAUGAUGCAUAUAAUUGAAUCGAAU